rnacentral:lncRNA from 1 species
GUUGAUUGAUUGUUUGGUGUUUAACGUUCAGUGGCAAAUAUUCCAUUCAUUUCAUUGCGAAAUUAGCGUUUUGUAAAGGAUUGAUAAGUGAUCGAGAUAACACAACUUUAAUAUAUUUCAUAUAUCCACACGUCCCUUCUAUGGGUCCAAUCUGUUUGAGUUACUAUGAGUUUCAUUAUUUCGUAUCGGAGAGUAUCUUGAAUAGAUAUGUCGUAACAUAGCUUUUUUAUUUCUAAUAUUUAUUGGGAAUCAGUUAAAGAAAUUCAAAGGUGCACUCGAUCUAUCGUUAGAAAUAGAGUUUUGUGUGUUCUUGUUGAAAGUAUGAGUGCUACAGCCCUAACACAACUGGUAGUCACAUAGUUAUCAAAAUAUAUAUUUUUAUAUUAUUACACCCCUAACUAAAAAGAAAAAUGAGAAAUAUGAAAAAUAGAGGAAAUAUACACAGUAUGCCAUAGAAGCUUAACGGAAACAAUAAAC